rnacentral:rRNA from 1 species
UGGGGAAGUUUGGACAAUGGGGGAAACCCUGAUCCAGCCAUCCCGCGUGUGCGAUGAAGGCCUUCGGGUUGUAAAGCACUUUUGGCAGGAAAGAAACGUCAUGGGUUAAUACCCCGUGAAACUGACGGUACCUGCAGAAUAAGCACCGGCUAACUACGUGCCAGCAGCCGCGGUAAUACGUAGGGUGCAAGCGUUAAUCGGAAUUACUGGGCGUAAAGCGUGCGCAGGCGGUUCGGAAAGAAAGAUGUGAAAUCCCAGAGCUCAACUUUGGAACUGCAUUUUUAACUACCGGGCUAGAGUGUGUCAGAGGGAGGUGGAAUUCCGCGUGUAGCAGUGAAAUGCGUAGAUAUGCGGAGGAACACCGAUGGCGAAGGCAGCCUCCUGGGAUAACACUGACGCUCAUGCACGAAAGCGUGGGGAGCAAACAGG